rnacentral:rRNA from 1 species
UACGUAGGGGGCUAGCGUUGUCCGGAAUCAUUGGGCGUAAAGCGCGUGUAGGCGGUCCGAUAAGUCUGCUGUGAAAGCCGGGGGCUCAACCCUCGGAUGCCGGUGGAUACUGUCGGGCUUGAGUACGGAAGAGGCGAGUGGAAUUCCUGGUGUAGCGGUGAAAUGCGCAGAUAUCAGGAGGAACACCAAUUGCGAAGGCAGCUCGCUGGGACGUCACUGACGCUGAGACGCGAAAGCGUGGGGAGCAAACAGGAUUAGAAACCCCAGUAGUCC